rnacentral:misc_RNA from 1 species
GAAUGCAGUGCUUACAUAGUAUGCAAUUCCCAUAAUCAGUGAAAUCAUAGCAGUUGCUGUGCUUCGUAGUGAUUUUGGAAAUUCUUGGUAGUAUAAUGUUACUUGUCCUGGAUAAUGGAAUGCUUCUCCAAACCCAAUCACAGCCAACUGCAGCACCAGCCGGAAGACUGACAUGGGAACAACACAACCAGUCUGGUUUACAAGGUGGUGGGUUUGUGCUACUUUAAGCCUUUUUGACUCAAACAGACCUGCAACAGCCAUGCCUAACACAUUGAACACAUGGCCUGGAGUUGGUGAUCAAUGAGUCAGUUUCUGCCAAAUUGUGUAUACCAGUCAAUCAAUGAAAGCAAGAAAUACUGCAGUAGAGGCUAAUAUAAAGACUAUCAUUGACCCUGCUGGAAUUUUGAAAUGUGGUCCAAGGUGACGGUCCAUAGUAAGAGCUUGGAGGAUUGUCAAACUACUUGGGACUGCAAUUGGAGUGCUUAAGAAAAUGGCACUUGACAACAACGGAAAAUCCUCAAGAAGGUUUUGAGGUCCUCCACUUGCUGUGUUGAACAAAGGCUCCAUGGUUUUGCAAUGGAGCCAUCCGAUCGGGUUUCUCCUUCUAUCUUUAAAGCUGCAUGAUUAAGGUACCUCAAGCUUUUAGUUGGUGCCAAAACCUCUAUUUGCACUGCCUUGUGCCCACAGUAGUAAUCUUCUAUUUUGGAAGAAAGUGGAACUUUCCUUUUUCGAAUUGCUGCAGUGAUGACGCGAGCUAAGUUUGUAAAUGGGCUCCCCUGCAGCUUAAUCUGAUGAUAGUAAUGACUUCCCAAGAAGAAAACUGCUAAGCCAACAAUGUUAGCGACAGCAGAUAGGCCGAACCCAAGUGCCCAACUUACAUUAUCCUCAGUAUAGACAACAAUUGUGGCACCUGUCACUGUAGAGCCAUACGAAAUGAUCACAUACCAAUUAAUAAAAGCCUCUUGAUCCUUCACACUGUUGAAUUGGUUUGCUCCCAUUGCUGCCAUUGUAAAAGUGCGGUCGUCCUAAAUCUAUUGAUACUCAAGCAACACCCAAGUACAAGACAGCAAAUUGUAAAUCUGAUCGAGUUGUGCAGAAGCUUGAUCCAUUUUCACAUGGUUGUGGCCUCAAGGAAUGCAGCACUGAUGUAAGGGUUAGAAGGACUUCGCCCUGGAAGUGUGUAGAUAGUGAAUUGUUGAUUGAUUAUUUUUGAGCAUUCAACUAACUAGUGUCCGAUGCAGAAUACAUAAAGUGAAGACUACGAGAUGGUGUUCUUGUGAUGUGUGUGCAUGUAGUAUGUUUGGAACAGGGGAUUGAGGCUUUUACCAUCAAAGAAAAGAAAGAAGAUAUCCAGAUGACAGAAAAACAUCAUAGAAAGGAGUCAGCAAUAAUGGCAGCAAUUACUGGUAGCAGACAGGUGCUGCCAUACACAGUGUUGUAAAUCUGAGUAGCAGUGAUGCUUUUCACAUGAAAUUUUUAAGUCAAAUGCACUACCAAGUUCGUCAUUGAUCCAGCUAUUGCCAGCGUCAAGCCCACCAGUGUCCUGUUUUUUUAUGCAGAAGCCAAAUCAAUUGGUGCCAUAUGUUCUGGAUAUGAAUGAGAGAUGGGGAUUUACAUGUUACACUAUUAGACAUGAAUUCAUUUUUUUCAUUCUGAAAAUCAUUUGACAUGAAAAUCAUGACAAGCUUACUUCUGCAAGUUCCUUUCUGGAAAAGAUUUGACAUGUUGCAAUGCUGCACAAACUUUAAUUGCAAUAUGCUUGGUGUAUCUGAUCUUUGCAUCUCUCCAUUGUGGGGUAAAGGAUUGUCUUCAUUGCAACUCAAAUGUUGGAGCUCAGUUUCUGCCAUUUUUGCUAAUAGAGUGAG